AUUGCCCUAGUAACGGCGAGUGAAGCGGCAACAGCUCAAAUUUGAAAUCUGGUCCUCUUUGGGGGGUCCGAGUUGUAAUUUGCAGAGGGUGCUUUGGCAUAGGCGGCGGUCUAAGUUCCUUGGAACAGGACAUCGCAGAGGGUGAGAAUCCCGUACGUGGGCGCCUGCCUUUGCCGUGUAAAGCCCCUUCGACGAGUCGAGUUGUUUGGGAAUGCAGCUCUAAAUGGGAGGUAAAUUUCUUCUAAAGCUAAAUACCGGCCAGAGACCGAUAGCGCACAAGUAGAGUGAUCGAAAGAUGAAAAGUACUUUGGAAAGAGAGUCAAACAGCACGUGAAAUUGUUGAAAGGGAAGCGCUUGCAGCCAGACUUGCCCGUAGUUGCUCACCCAGGCUCUUGCCCGGGGCACUCUUCUGCGGGCAGGCCAGCAUCAGUUUGGGCGGUUGGAUAAAGGCCUCUGUCACGUAUCUCCCUUCGGAGUGACCUUAUAGGGGAGGCGCAAUGCAACCAGCCCGGACUGAGGUCCGCGCAUCUGCUAGGAUGCUGGCGUAAUGGCUGUAAGCGGCCCGUCUUGAAACACGGACCAAGGAGUCUAACAUCUAUGCGAGUGUUUGGGUGUCAAGCCCGGGCGCGCAAUGAAAGUGAACGGAGGUGGGAACCCUUCGGGGUGCACCAUCGGCCGAUCCUGAUGUCUUCGGAUGGAUUUGAGUAAGAGCAUAGCUGUUGGGACCCGAAAGAUGGUGAACUAUGCUUGAAUAGGGUGAAGCCAGAGGAAACUCUGGUGGAGGCUCGCAGCGGUUCUGACGUGCAAAUCGAUCGUCAAAUUUGGGCAUAGGGGCGAAAGACUAAUCGAACCAU
rnacentral:rRNA from 1 species